rnacentral:rRNA from 1 species
CCCUUAGAUGUUCUGGGCCGCACGCGCGCUACACUGACGGAGCCAACGAGUACUUUCCUUGUCCGGAAGGACUGGGUAAUCUUGUGAAACUUCGUCGUGCUGGGGAUAGAGCAUUGCAAUUAUUGCUCUUCAACGAGGAAUUCCUAGUAAGCGUGAGUCAUCAGCUCGCGUUGAUUACGUCCCUGCCCUUUGUACACACCGCCCGUCGCUACUACCGAUUGAACGGUUUAGUGAGGGCCUCGGAUUGGUCUCGGCCCGCUCUUUACCGGGCGGCGCCGUUGGUCGAGAAGACGCUCGAACUUGAUCGUUUAGAGGAAGUAAAAGUCGUAACA